ensembl:lncRNA
CUUUAAAGCAAACGCUCAGCAGAACGAACGCUUUAUGUCAGCCUUCCUUUCCAAAGGGAGGAAAGAGCACAACCGCGCAUUUGCAGCAAAACAAGAGCAAAAAAUUCCAAAGAAUUCCCCGAUGUCCCCCAGCCCUGGAACACACAGAGCGCACCGCAGCGGAGCGGAGCAGCGCUCAGUCCGUGGGGCCGGGGGGGCUGCGGCUCAGCCACGGCGCUGGGAAUGUUACUUCACUUCAUUUGCGGCGUGGCCAAAAUUAACCUGAGAAACCUGCUCGGAGCGUGCUGCACAGUUGUGCAUUUUUCACGUGAACAUCCAAGGCAGCUCCCUUUCUCUGGGAUGUGUCAUUUCCUGUGUAGCUGGAAUAAUACAUGAGCAGUAAAGUGUCAAACCACAAAGAAAGCGAUAUAAUUAGCGCUGGUACCCACUACAAACCCGGAUCUCUGAAGAGAGACCAGCGCAGCUUUUCAAACGCCUACCAUUUUGAAAUCAGGAAAAAAAAAAAAAAAUCUAACAGACACAAGAAUCCCUCUUGAAUCCCCCUUGGCCCUUUUGAAUUCACGCCCUGCCUUACAUCAAACGCUUUUUUUGCUGAUUAACUGCACAAUCAGGUCCCUGCAGAUCAGGGGAAGAAUGGAGAAGAGAAAAGCAACCUCUUUUCCAGAGAACAAUACCAUUAUUUCAGCUCCAUUGGACAGGAAUGUGUGAUUUCACAGCCCACUGCCCUUCUCUCCCAUCUCCAAAAACACUGCCAGAGAUCCACAGCUCCAAUCCCCACCCAUUAGUACCCAGACCCAGCGCUUACAGCUCGGGUUCAAUAUCUGUGCGUGGGGGCUAUGCAUACAUGUACAUACAUAUAUGGAGAAAGCACCCAGAUCAGAACCACCUCCCAAGCCCAAGAAUGGGCACAAAGGAAGUUUCGUUUAUUAAGAAAGAAAGAUAGAAAAAGAGAAAGAAAGAAAGGAAGAAAGGAAGAAAGGAAGAAAGGAAGAAAGGAAGAAAG